GACGGAAGGUGCAAGCGUUGCUCGGAAUCACUGGGCGUAAAGGGUGCGUAGGCGGCCGUGCAAGUCUGGCGUGAAAGCCCCGGGCUCAGCCCGGGAAGUGCGCUCGAAACUGCGCGGCUCGAGUGCCGGAGGGGAGAGUGGAAUUCCUGGUGUAGCGGUGAAAUGCGCAGAUAUCAGGAAGAACACCUAUGGCGAAGGCAGCUCUCUGGGACGGUACUGACGCUGAGACGCGAAAGCGUGGGGAGCGAACAGG
rnacentral:rRNA from 1 species